UUCAAUUGAUGUAAGAUAGAUUCUUGCAGCCCUUA
rnacentral:tRNA from 1 species